rnacentral:SRP_RNA from 1 species
GCCAGGUGUGGUGGCGCAUGCCUGUAAUCCCAGCUACUCUGGAGGCUGAGGUAGGAGAAUUGCUUGAACCCAGGAGGCAGAGGCUGCAGUGAGCCAAGAUCAGCCCACUGCACUCCAGCCUGGGAAACAGAGCGAGACUCCAUCUCAA